CGAAAGUUUAGCUCGGCCCAGAAGGGUUUGUUUACCAUCCUGCCGGAGCUUUCCGCAGUCGGACUCGACCACUGGACACCCUGGGGGAGUAGCAAGAGGGACAGGACACGGCGUGCCUCUCUUCGCGAGAAGUCGAUUCAUCGUCCACUGCGGUGAAUCCAAAACCACGGAGCUGUGCCGGAAGGGAUCCGAUCCCCAAGCAAAUGUCUGGACUAACUCUCGUUUCACAAAUUAGUCAACACCGCUGGUGUUUUAGCAUAUAGCAUGGCUGGACAGCUGGAGAUGGUGGUGCGCAGCUUGGCCAUCGGUUCGAGUUGAGGACAGCUCUGAAGCUGGGUGACAGGCUUGAACAAUGGAAUUGGUGAAACGAUUACCCGGAGUGGACCAAGAUCAACCCGACUGGCCAAGAUCGCGCCAAGAGUGGUUUUAAAUUAAAGCUAGUGCUACGGCUUAAAAUAAAUACAUAGGUUUUAUGUUUACUCGCUUCAACAUAUCGCGCAUCUUAAAAACAACUUUAAUAAUUAUGAAAUAAAUCUGUUUUCAGGGGAUUGUA